rnacentral:lncRNA from 1 species
CAGCUCCGUUCCUCCGUGCGCGAGUAACCGGGCAGGAGGAGGCGAGCGCGAUCAGACCUCCAGGUGUGUGUAGAUGUACGUGUGUGUUCCAGCCACACCUGGAUGCAUCAUGUGAUCAGAUACCUGGGCGUGGAGCUAGCGUUCAGUGUGUUAGUCGGUAACGGGAAUCUCGGAACCGCAGAUCUCUUGUCGCUCCGCGCGUGAGUGACAUGUGAACUUUCCGUGCACCGGGAAUCUAUUCCUCUCAGUCUAAAGGGACUCCGUGGUCUGGACGCUGCAACCGCCGCCAAGCAACGAGCGGAGAGUUGGUUCCUCCAGUGAUGACCGCGCGGAGUCACGGUCGCAGGACAAGGGCACGGAUACCCCCGCUUCAUAUCAAACCGCCGCUCUCUCAUCUGCAUCCACAUGCAUCCAGUGGCUUUAUCAAAAGCCGGGCGUGUUUUUUUAUUUUUUUUAUUUACGUCAAGUGCUCAAACUAAGCUCUCUGAAUGUCCUUUGUAUCACUCUGCCUCAAAAACAAGCUCUGAACGCAACAUUUUAUCUUAGCGUUAGCCUCUUUCUGUGUCUCUCGCUCUCUCUGUGGCCAAUAAAAGAAAGGCUGGAGGCCAAACUGCAGACGGGCCACCCAAUACUAACUCUCUCACUAACACACUUUUUGAGAGCGAGAGGAGAGUCUUUGUACAUCAUCUGCCUGCUGACUCCAUUAGAGACCUCAUACUGAAGAUGGCCAGCUUUGCUUUAGUUUACUCAAAAAUGAGAAAA